GCUGGGUGUGGUGGUGCGCACCUGUAGUCCUUGCUACUUAGGAGGCUGAGAUAGGAGGAUUACUUGAGCCCAGGAGUUCAUGACCAGUCUGGGCAAUACAGCAAGACCCUGUCUCAA
ensembl:misc_RNA Metazoa_SRP Metazoan signal recognition particle RNA